rnacentral:tRNA from 1 species
AGCCCCCUAGUAUAGUGGCCAAGUAUACAAGGCUCUGGACCUUGGGACGAGAGUUCGAAUCUCUCGGGGGCUA